AUUGAACGCUGGCGGCAUGCUUUACACAUGCAAGUCGAACGGUAACAGGCCGCAAGGUGCUGACGAGUGGCGAACGGGUGAGUAAUGCAUCGGAACGUGCCCAGUCGUGGGGGAUAACUACUCGAAAGAGUAGCUAAUACCGCAUACGAUCUAUGGAUGAAAGCGGGGGACCGUAAGGCCUCGCGCGAUUGGAGCGGCCGAUGUCAGAUUAGGUAGUUGGUGGGGUAAAGGCUCACCAAGCCAACGAUCUGUAGCUGGUCUGAGAGGACGACCAGCCACACUGGAACUGAGACACGGCCCAGACUCCUACGGGAGGCAGCAGUGGGGAAUUUUGGACAAUGGGCGCAAGCCUGAUCCAGCAAUGCCGCGUGCAGGAAGAAGGCCUUCGGGUUGUAAACUGCUUUUGUACGGAACGAAACGGCUCUGGUUAAUACCCGGGGGUAAUGACGGUACCGUAAGAAUAAGCACCGGCUAACUACGUG
rnacentral:rRNA from 1 species